CAGGGCUCUGAAUCACAUGAGCCCCAAGAAGAUGUAGGUGCUGUGUGAUUUUGAGUGAC
rnacentral:miRNA from 1 species